UCUCCGUUGGUGAACCAGCGGAGGGACCAUUACAGAGUUAUUCUACUCCCAAACCCCUGUAAACUUAAACCUUUACUGUUGCUUCGGCGGGUUAACGCCCCGGAAGGCCGGCGAGGGCCCCCGGAACCAGGCGUCCGCCGGGGGACCCAAACUCUUGAAACUUUUUUAUAGCAUGUCUGCGUAGAAUCAUAAACAAAUGAAUCAAAACUUUCAACAACGGAUCUCUUGGUUCUG
rnacentral:misc_RNA from 1 species